rnacentral:lncRNA from 1 species
AUCACACGACUACACCUCCUGAAGUUGGUUCACCAUCCCACCUUGAUCAUGAGGGAGGAGAGGAGCAUGAAGAGCCUAUGCAAGAGGCUAACCAGGAUGAAGGAGGAGUAGAGAAUGAAGGAGAAGAGAGCAUAGGCUCUGAUGGUCAUGGGCAUGAUCAUGGUGUGAUACAAACACCUUCUCAAAACGAAGUGGUAGAAGA